GAUGAACGCUGGCGGCGUGCCUAAUACAUGCCAGUCGAGCGAACAGACGAGGAGCUUGCUCCUCUGACGUUAGCGGCGGACGGGUGAGUAACACGUGGAUAUCCUACCUAUAAGACUGGGAUAACUUCGGGAAACCGGAGCUAAUACCGGAUAAUAUAUUGAACCGCAUGGUUCAAUAGUGAAAGACGGUUUUGCUGUCACUUAUAGAUGGAUCCGCGCCGCAUUAGCUAGUUGGUAAGGUAACGGCUUACCAAGGCGACGAUGCGUAGCCGACCUGAGAGGGUGAUCGGCCACACUGGAACUGAGACACGGUCCAGACUCCUACGGGAGGCAGCAGUAGGGAAUCUUCCGCAAUGGGCGAAAGCUUGACGGAGCAACGCCGCGUGAGUGAUGAAGGUCUUCGGAUCGUAAAACUCUGUUAUUAGGGAAGAACAAAUGUGUAAGUAACUAUGCACGUCUUGACGGUACCUAAUCAGAAAGCCACGGCUAACUACGUG
rnacentral:rRNA from 1 species